UUGACCUCGGAUCAGGUAGGAAUACCCGCUGAACUUAAGCAUAUCAAUAAGCGGAGGAAAAGAAACCAACAGGGAUUGCCCUAGUAACGGCGAGUGAAGCGGCAAUAGCUCAAAUUUGAAAUCUGGCCUCGGCCCGAGUUGUAAUUUGCAGAGGAUGUUUCUGGCGCGGUGCCUUCCGAGUUCCCUGGAACGGGACGCCACAGAGGGUGAGAGCCCCGUAUGGUUGGACACUAAGCCUGUGUGAAACUCCUUCGACGAGUCGAGUAGUUUGGGAAUGCUGCUCAAAAUGGGAGGUAAAUCUCUUCUAAAGCUAAAUACCGGCCAGAGACCGAUAGCGCACAAGUAGAGUGAUCGAAAGAUGAAAAGCACCUUGAAAAGGGGG
rnacentral:rRNA from 1 species